CCUACGGGAGGCAGCAGUGGGGAAUAUUGCACAAUGGGGGAAACCCUGAUGCAGCGACGCCGCGUGAGUGAAGAAGUAUUUCGGUAUGUAAAGCUCUAUCAGCAGGGAAGAAGAAAGACGGUACCUGACUAAGAAGCCCCGGCUAACUACGUGCCAGCAGCCGCGGUAAUACGGAGGAUGCGAGCGUUAUCCGGAUUUAUUGGGUUUAAAGGGUGCGCAGGCGGAAGAUCAAGUCAGCGGUAAAAUUGAGAGGCUCAACCUCUUCGAGCCGUUGAAACUGAUGUUCUUGAGUGGGCGAGAAGUAUGCGGAAUGCGUGGUGUAGCGGUGAAAUGCAUAGAUAUCACGCAGAACUCCGAUUGCGAAGGCAGCAUACCGGCGCCCAACUGACGCUGAAGCACGAAAGCGUGGGUAUCGAACAGGAUUAGAUACCCCAGUAGUC
rnacentral:rRNA from 1 species